GAGAGAUGCCUCCAGGUAUUUUCUCUCUCAGGACUCAAUUCUACAUAUGUGAUGAAGUGAAGGCCAGAAGCUGCUUGCCCAUAAAGCAGAAUGAUAUUAUGUACUAUGUACAAAGGAAACAGCUCUGCCACGGGAAGAAAAUUAAAGAAGACACACUCAGCCCAAAAAAGGAGAGGCUGGUACCAACACAAAUCUCCAAGGCCUCUGAUUACACAAGCAAUACUCUUCCGAUGUUUGUACUAAUGGACUGGGAGCAUGUUUGCCUUUACUGGUGAUGCAUCGAUAAAGGAAGAUACAAUCACAUAGAUCAAUUACGAGUGGGGCAGCACAAGGAAAAGCAAUACUUUU